rnacentral:rRNA from 1 species
GACGAACGCUGGCGGCGUGCUUAACACAUGCAAGUCGAACGGAAAGGCCCUGCUUUUGUGGGGUGCUCGAGUGGCGAACGGGUGAGUAACACGUGAGUAACCUGCCCUUGACUUUGGGAUAACUUCAGGAAACUGGGGCUAAUACCGGAUAGGAGCUCCUGCUGCAUGGUGGGGGUUGGAAAGUUUCGGCGGUUGGGGAUGGACUCGCGGCUUAUCAGCUUGUUGGUGGGGUAGUGGCUUACCAAGGCUUUGACGGGUAGCCGGCCUGAGGGUGACCGGCCACAUUGGGACUGAGAUACGGCCCAGACUCCUACGGGGGGCAGCAGUGGGGAAUAUUGCACAAUGGGCGGAAGCCUGAUGCAGCAACGCCGCGUGCGGGAUGACGGCCUUCGGGUUGUAAACCGCUUUCGCCUGUGACGAAGCGUGAGUGACGGUAAUGGGUAAAGAAGCACCGGCUAACUACGUG